rnacentral:tRNA from 1 species
CGGAUAUAUUCAUGGUGAAAUAAUUUUUUACAAUAAUUAGUUUAAACUGUUCAAUUCAGUUUUAUCUGA